rnacentral:rRNA from 1 species
CCUUAUAGAAUGCGAGUCGAGCGAAUCGAUGGGAGCUUGUCCCUGAGAUUAGCGGCGGACGGGUGAGUAACACGUGGGCACCUGCCUAUAAGACUGGGAUAACUUCGGGAAACCGGAGCUAAUACCGGAUACGUUCUUUUCUCGCAUGAGAGAAGAUGGAAAGACGGUUUACGCUGUCACUUAUAGAUGGGCCCGCGGCGCAUAGCUAGUUGGUGAGGUAAUGGCUCACCAAGGCGACGAUGCGUAGCCGACCUGAGAGGGUGAUCGGCCACACGGGGACUGAGACACGGCCCAGACUCCUAGGGGAGGCAGCGGUGGGGAAUCUUCCGAAAUGGACGAAAGCUGACGGAGCAAGGCGCGUGACGAGGAGGCCUUGGGUCGUAAGUUCUGUGUGGGGAGACAGGUACCGAGUACUGCGGGUACUGGACGGACUACCAGAAGCAGGUUAACUACGUGCCACGCCGCGUAAUACGUAGUGGCAGCGUUGGUAUUUAAUCGGAAGCCCCUAUAUA